rnacentral:rRNA from 1 species
GCAUAUCAAUAAGCGGAGGAAAAGAAACUAACAAGGAUUCCCCUAGUAAUGGCGAAUGAAGAGGGAAAAGCUCAAAUUUUAAAUCUACCUGGUUCCCAGGUCGAGUUGUAAUUUGAAGAAACGAUAUCGGUGUGGAGGUCUGGUUCAAGUUCUUUGGAACAAGACAUCAUGGAGGGUGAGAAUCCCGUGCAUGAUCAGACCAAGAUACUUAAUAUUCGCUUUCUAAGAGUCGAGUUGUUUGGGAAUGCAGCUCAAAUUGGGUGGUAGACUUCACCUAAGGCUAAAUAUCAGCGAGAGACCGAUAGCGAACAAGUACUGUGAAGGAAAGAUGAAAAGAACUUUGAAAAGAGAGUUAAAUAGUACGUGAAAUUGUUGAAAGGGAAACGAUUGAAGUCAGUCAUGCUAGUGAAAAUUCAGUUUGGUGGGUUUUGGGUUCAGGAGUUGAGGCAGGGUCAAACCGUUUCUCUUUUGAACUUGGAAUUUGUCAGAUGCACUUUUUCUUUGGCGGGUCAGCGUCGAUUUCGGAGGUUGUAAAAUACUUGGGGAAAAGUAGCUCUGCUUCGGGAGAGUGUUAUAGACCUUGGGUGAUGCGGCCUGCGGGAUCGAGGAUUGCAGCAAAUGCUUUUGGCUUGUCGCCUGAUCUCUGGACGUCAUCUCGCUUGUAUCGACAUUCUUGGUACCGGUGAGUAAUGGUGCUCAUAGGUUAGAGCGAUCAAAAAUUUUGCUAAGGAUGCUGACGUAAUGGCUUUAAACGAC